rfam:Ictidomys tridecemlineatus contig003108, whole genome shotgun sequence.
GGAGUUGUGGCUCAGUGGUAGAGCACUUGUCUAGCACAUGCAAGGCCCUGGGUUCGAUCCUCAGCACCA